rnacentral:rRNA from 1 species
CUCCUACGGGAGGCAGCAGUGGGGAAUAUUGCACAAUGGGCGCAAGCCUGAUGCAGCCAUGCCGCGUGUAUGAAGAAGGCCUUCGGGUUGUAAAGUACUUUCAGUMGUGAGGAAGGYGGYGUMGUUAAUAGCKGCRUYGUUUGACGUUAGCGRCAGAAGAAGCACCGGCUAACUCCGUGCCAGCAGCCGCGGUAAUACGGAGGGUGCGAGCGUUAAUCGGAAUUACUGGGCGUAAAGCGCAUGCAGGUGGUUUGUUAAGUCAGAUGUGAAAGCCCGGGGCUCAACCUCGGAAUAGCAUUUGAAACUGGCAGACUAGAGUACUGUAGAGGGGGGUAGAAUUUCAGGUGUAGCGGUGAAAUGCGUAGAGAUYUGAAGGAAUACCGGUGGCGAAGGCGGCCCCCUGGACAGAUACUGACACUCAGAUGCGAAAGCGUGGGGAGCAAACAGGAUUAGAUACCCUGGUAGUCCACGCCGUAAACGAUGUCUACUUGGAGGUUGUGGCCUUGAGCCGUGGCUUUCGGAGCUAACGCGUUAAGUAGACCGCCUGGGGAGUACGGUCGCAAGAUUAAAACUCAAAUGAAUUGACGGGGGCCCGCACAAGCGGUGGAGCAUGUGGUUUAAUUCGAUGCAACGCGAAGAACCUUACCUACUCUUGACAUCCAGAGAACUUUCCAGAGAUGGAUUGGUGCCUUCGGGAACUCUGA